rnacentral:rRNA from 1 species
GACGUAGGGCGCGAGCGUUGUCCGGAUUUAUUGGGCGUAAAGAGCUCGUAGGCGGUUUGUUGCGUCGGCUGUGAAAACUCGGGGCUUAACCCCGAGCCUGCAGUGGAUACGGGCAGGCUAGAGUUCGGUAGGGGAGAAUGGAAUUCCCGGUGUAGCGGUGAAAUGCGCAGAUAUCGGGAGGAACACCGGUGGCGAAGGCGGUUCUCUGGGCCUUGCCUGACGCUGAGGAGCGAAAGCGUGGGGAGCGAACAGG